GCAGGUGCGAAAGCAGGUCAUAGUGAUCCGGUGGUUCUGAAUGGAAGGGCCAUCGCUCAACGGAUAAAAGGUACUCCGGGGAUAACAGGCUGAUACCGCCCAAGAGUUCAUAUCGACGGCGGUGUUUGGCACCUCGAUGUCGGCUCAUCACAUCCUGGGGCUGAAGUAGGUCCCAAGGGUAUGGCUGUUCGCCAUUUAAAGUGGUACGCGAGCUGGGUUUAGAACGUCGUGAGACAGUUCGGUCCCUAUCUGCCGUGGGCGCUGGAGAACUGAGGGGGGCUGCUCCUAGUACGAGAGGACCGGAGUGGACGCAUCACUGGUGUUCGGGUUGUCAUGCCAAUGGCACUGCCCGGUAGCUAAAUGCGGAAGAGAUAAGUGCUGAAAGCAUCUAAGCACGAAACUUGCCCCGAGAUGAGUUCUCCCUGACCCUUUAAGGGUCCUGAAGGAACGUUGAAGACGACGACGUUGAUAGGCCGGGUGUGUAAGCGCAGCGAUGCGUUGAGCUAACCGGUACUAAUGAACCGUGAGGCUUAACCUUACAACGCCGAAG
rnacentral:rRNA from 1 species